GGCGGGGUAGCCAAGUGGUAAGGCAGCGGUCUGCAAAACCGCUAUUCGUGGGUUCGAUUCCCGCCCCCGCCU
rnacentral:tRNA from 2 species